rnacentral:rRNA from 1 species
UACGGAGGGUGCAAGUGUUAAUCGGAAUUACUGGGCGUAAAGCGCGCGUAGGCGGCUUGAUAAGUCGGAUGUGAAAGCCCUGGGCUCAACCUAGGAACUGCAUUCGAUACUGUCAAGCUAGAGUGUGGGAGAGGGUGGUGGAAUUCCCGGUGUAGCGGUGAAAUGCGUAGAUAUCGGGAGGAACAUCAGUGGCGAAGGCGACCGCCUGGCCCAACACUGACGCUGAGGUGCGAAAGCGUGGGUAGCAAACAGG